GACGAACGCUGGCGGCGUGCCUAAUACAUGCAAGUCGAACGCAGUGGGGACGGGUGAGUAACACGUGGGUAACCUCCCAUCAGAGGGGAUAACACUUGGAAACAGGUGCUAAACCGAUACUGAUGGAUGGACCCGCGGUGCAUUAGCUAGUUGGUAAGGUAACGGCUCACCAAGGCCACGAUGCAUAGCCGACCUGGGAGGUUGAUCGGCCAAAUGGGGACUGAGACACGGCCACACCUCCUACGGUGGGCAGCAUGAGGGAAUCUUCGGCAAUGUACGAAAGUCUGACCGAGCAACGCCGCGUGAUUGAAGAAGGUUGUCGGAUCGUAAAACUCUGUUGUUAGAGAAGCGGUAUCUAACCAGAAAGCCACGGCUAACUACGUGCCAGCAGCCGCGGUAAUAC
rnacentral:rRNA from 1 species